CUUUGGACAAUUUUAGGGCUGCUCCCUAACUUACUCUUCCCAACCAAGGUAGGCCAAAAAAAAAAUUGCUGGUUCCUGGAAAUGACCAAAACUGUCCUCCAAUUGAGUCAGCUAGGACAGCAGAGAAAGCUUUCAUUAUUAAGGGGGCAGAGGGGUAGACUUGCAAGCUCAUCUAAACCAACUCCUUCAAAACAGAUUCCAAAUAUUUCACCCUACAAGGGAUGGGGAACUCUGGAAGACUGGCAUCAGCCGAUAUGGCUGAACAGACUGCAGAUUUGGAAUCCAAAUGUGUCUACAAAUGUUCACUGAUUGUCAUUUUGUUCUCCCCACAUUUUAGUUUUGCUCAUUUUACAGCCCACAGCCUGUCUUGUGGAAUAAAUGAUACAAGCAAUUGAAGAAGGCACACUGUGCACCAAGGGGACAACUCAGGCAGUCUGCAGCAGUGGUCCAGGGCUACUCAGCUCAGCCUCAGUCACCUGCAAUGAAAACCACCUCUUGCCAUCAGAGUCAAUGAUAUAGAUGGGACUUAAAAACCAAAACAAGUUCAUAUUCUCUGGUUUGUAGGAAAGAAUUCAUAUCUUCACAGCAAAAAUAAAAAUAAAAAAGGAGGGGGCAUGUUUUUAAUAUCAAACUGGCCAUCAAAGUGUUCACUGACCUUUAAUAACUGAUCUUUUCAUUUUGAAAUAUAGGGUUCAAUAAGGACGGUCCAGAAAUCACUUUUAUUUUACUCAAGGGCUGUGAGGCCUCUACCUUAGGAGUCUCAGUUCUGGUGAGAGCAGCGUUUUGGGAGGCAUUGUGUGAGACACACCAGUUGGAGCAAAGUUCCCAAAGGCCAAGGGGGCCUAUCACGGUCACCUUGUGCUACCAAAGCACUGAGCAGCCAAGCCCCUAAGCAGAACAGCAGGGGAGAGACCCAACAAGCCAGUGUCCCUAGAGCUCUAGGCCAUUACCCCCUGUGCUGUGUUCUGAGAUGAGGCUGCUCUCCCACUGCUUCCCCAGGGAAACAAUGCCCUAGUGUGGUCUCACAGCCUUCUAGGAAUCAGCGGAGGACUUCCAUUGAAAAUAAUGGAAAUUCACAUUGGCGUACUUUCGAUCCUUAAAAGGAACACACAUGACCAGGAAAGAUGCCCAAGGAUGGCAGCUGCCUUGCAGCCAAGCAUGGGUCAGACACACCAAUAUGGCAGCCUGAUAUUCAGAGGCCAACCCAGGCCAAGGAGAAAAACAAGAAACACCUGCAAAGACUAAAUUCCCAGGUCCCAGAAGGAUGGACAAAUGUUUGAAUUUCAUUAAGGGGAUCUAAUGGAAUCUUUGCCACUUGAAAGAAUUCAUCUCUCCAACAGAGGUGUUGACUUCAACAGCCCAGAUGAGAUUGACUUUCCCAAUCCUGCCAAGAAGCCUAAAAGAAGACCUUCCACAUUUGAGAACUCAGUACCUGAGAACAGUUAUGAUUCUUUGCAAACAACCUGAGGAUUCAUAACAUGCAGUAACUUACAAUUUUGCUGAUGCACGAAUUUGAAUAUAGCGCAUGCUGCAAAGCUUGUGUGCAGGGAACAGAAUGAAGUGAGUGGUGGGGAAAGGGAUUUCGGAAGUGAAGCCAGUUCCCCAUCUCACAUGCACUCACAGAACUGAUUUCCCAGGAAAAAACCUGUGGAGCGUGACCUCCCCACCACCAGGACUGGAGGAAGGGGUGGCUCUAGGGGACUAUGGGAGUAGGCCAGUGUCCCAGCAAAGGGGACAAAGAUGGGAGAGGGGCUAGGGGCACAAGGCUGGGACCCAGUCAUCUGUUCAUAGCUGUGUGGGCUGAUGAGGGAGGCCCCAGUCAGCAGGAGGGGAGGGGAGACCUUGGGGCCACAGGACAGGGCCUGGCCCAUCCCAGCUUCCAGACCUCAGCAAUCUUGUUUCCUACUCCUGUCCCAUGGUAAAGGGCCACUACCAUUUCCCCGACCCUUCACUGCAAGUCUUAAGGAAAAGCCUGUGUUCAGGAGGGAGUUGCCAAGGCCUCAAGAAAGAUCCCUCCUGAGUGCCAGGGAUUACAGAUUCCCAGGGGACUUUCCUAAGGCCUCGGCCUGGCCCCUCCAGCCCUGCUCACCUCGGAAGCUCAGCUCACUGUCACUAACCCCACAGUCCUCUGCAGAGCUCUCCUUCUCCUGCUUGCUGCUGCCCCGGCUCCUCUUGACGCUCUUAUAGAACUGCCCCCAGCGGUGCCGCCCUGCGUCCUUCUUCAGGCGUUUCUCUUUGGCCCUUCUGUUCUGAAACCAAACCUGCCACACAAGCACAAGGGACAUACUCAGGGGGCGUCCACCACAAACCCAAAGCCCCCAGGACCCCCUAGGCGGGCGGCUGGAAGCAGACUGAAGCCUGAAUGGAGCACAGGUCUGGGAGUGCGAUGCCCCACCCCCUCUCCCCAGGUGGGCCUCAGAACUCUGUCUUCAGUUCUGGCAAAAGCCCUGGGGUCAAGCCCUGAGCCCAACCACCCGUGAGCUGAUGUCACUCAGGACACCUUCCACCCCUGUCCCGGGCCUGGGAUCCCCAGAGGGCACAGGAGUGCUGGCAUCUCACCUGUACGACCCUCAUGUCCAGGCCUGUCUCUGAGGACAGCUGCUCCCUCACGUGCCUGGCAGGCUUGGGGGAGUUCUUGUAUGCAUUCUUUAAUGUCUCCAGCUGCUUGGCUGUGAUGGUGGUCCGGGGCCGCUUAGCUCCAGCCUCUGAGUCAUCUGCAAGGAAAAACCACUGCUUACUGGCUUCGGCCUAUCUGCAGCAGCUGCGCCUCCUCCCACACCCUCCCUUCCAUCCUUUCUGCACCUAAGCCUGCCUGCUGUAGGCAGGACAGCGCGAGGCACAGGGGACAUCAGAGUGGAGAGGUCCCCACUCUCAUGGCACUGACUCCUGCACCACGGGCCUUCCCAAGCCACUGAAAAGUGAGGACAGCAGUCCUUUCUCUGCUCAGCUCCCUGCCUCAACCCUCCCCUGCCAGCCCAGCUGCACAGAAGUCUCAUCAGAUUGAAUGUACCCAAUUCCACACGUCCCUGUCAUGACAAACACUCUGUUCACACAUCCUCAUGAGUUCUUGCCAGAGCUGUGAACAGCCAGGUUGAAGUCAUGUUCAAAGUCGCCCCGGAUGCCCUCCCCUCUGUCUCAUCGGGAGUCUCCCAUUUCCCCACAGCCAUGUCACCUUUGCCCUGGCGUCACUGGGCUCACAGCCAGGGGUGAGCUUGCACACCCAACAGUGUCUAAGCAGGUUCCUAAACUAUAGGUCAGAACCCACUCGUGGGCUGUAAAGUCAACUUAGUGGAUCAAAACUAAAACAGGAAAUCAGAUGAAGAGAAUGGGAUGGAAUGGCAAGAUCAUUUCAUUAGUUUUUAUUGUAUAAAUAUGUGUACUGAGAUGAAAUGUAAAAUGAGUUUUACUGUGGAUUGUAGUCAAAAUUUUUUGAGAAAACUAGUCUAAGGAAUGUUCUGGGCAACACACACUGAUCAACACAAAGUCCUAGACAGAUUUUGAGUGAACAAGCUCAAGUUCCUGUUAGUUAAAGUCUGGUUUGUUCCAUUCAAAGUCAGGUACAGAGAGAGGCGCGUGCGUGUGUUCGGAAGCACAGGUGAAUGUAAAGGUUUGUUUCCUCUCCCAGCACUUAGGCUUACUGCCCUUUUCUCCACAGUGCCCCUGGAGGACACACAGAAUAAAGUCAGCAGCUGGCCUGGGCAGCUCUGCUCUCUGUGCUUGCUCACCUGUGUGCCCUGGAAAGUGUCUCUGUGACAUUCCUGACUUCCUCUCUGUCUUUUCUCCUUUCUUUCCAUUCAAGAAAACCCUCUCUUAGAAACAAUAGUAGCCAACAUGUGUUAGCACCUACCAUGUGCUGGUGUUGACUAAGGACUUUAUAUGCAUUCGGUCCUCACAAUCUACAAGGCUCUCCCUGGAGUCAGCAGACCUGGCUUCAGUGUUCUUGAUGAGUGAGUGACUUGGGCCAGUAACUCACUUCCCCCUUGGAAGUCCAGAGGGCAACACGGCCUGCCCUGAUCUUGGGAGGCACUAGAGGAAUGAAGCAGCUGUGCGGCCAGGACAUGUGUGCACACAGUGAGGGGGGACACACCCGUGCCUUCCCUUCUCCUCGGGCUGUUUUCUUCUCUCACGUGGCCACUGUCAUCCCGGAACUACUGUGGCCCAACUCCCUCCCUGAAGCCCUGAACCCGAAGGGUAGGGAUUCUGGAGCCCCUGCCGCAGAGACUACACUACUUAGAGAGUCAUUCCAAAAGACAAAGGGGAACCUCCAAAAUGCCUUCCUUUUCAUUCUGAGGAGUCUGUCCCUUCUGUGCAUAUUUAUAGUCUACACGGGAGUGUCUGAUGCAACUUUGAAUUAUGCAAAUGGGAAAUAAUGCACUUGUGUAUAAUCUUUAUAUUAAAAAAUGUGAAAUAA